GCAGUGGUAGUUCAGUGGUAGUAUUCUUGCCUCUCAUGUGAGGGACCCAGGUUCGAUUCCUGGCUAAUACA
rnacentral:tRNA from 1 species